UAAGUACUCCCUCCGAUCCCAAAAUUCUUGUCUUAGAUUUGUCUAAAUACGGAUGUAUCUAGUUACGUUUUAGUGUUAGAUACAUUCGUAUUUAGACAAAUCUAAGACAAGAAUUUUAAGACGGAGGGAGUACUUC
rfam:Triticum aestivum genome assembly, contig: Triticum_aestivum_CS42_TGACv1_scaffold_225153_3B